rnacentral:rRNA from 1 species
GACGAACGCUGGCGGCGUGCUUAACACAUGCAAGUCGAACGGAAAGGCCCUGCUUUUGUGGGGUGCUCGAGUGGCGAACGGGUGAGUAACACGUGAGUAACCUGCCCUUGACUUUGGGAUAACUUCAGGAAACUGGGGCUAAUACCGGAUAGGAGCUCCUGCUGCAUGGUGGGGGUUGGAAAGUUUCGGCGGUUGGGGAUGGACUCGCGGCUUAUCAGCUUGUUGGUGGGGUAGUGGCUUACCAAGGCUUUGACGGGUAGCCGGUCUGAGAGGGUGACCGGCCACAUUGGGACUGAGAUACGGCCCAGACUCCUACGGGAGGCAGCAGUGGGGAGUAUUGCACAAUGGGCGGAAGCCUGAUGCAGCAACGCCGCGUGCGGGAUGACGGCCUUCGGGUUGUAAACCGCUUUCGCCUGUGACGAAGCGUGAGUGACGGUAAUGGGUAAAGAAGCACCGGCUAACUACGUG